rnacentral:rRNA from 1 species
GACGAACGCUGGCGGCGUGCUUAACACAUGCAAGUCGAACGGGCCCGCCCCUGUUUUUGGGGGUGGGUUGAGUGGCGAACGGGUGAGUAUCACGUGAGUAACCUGCCCCCUGCUCCUGGAUAACUGCUUGAAAGGGCGGCUAAUACGGGGUGUGCCGGCUGGUCCGCAUGGGCCUGGUCGGGAUAGUUUCAUCUUCGGGUGUUUCGGUGGGGGAUGGGCUCGCGGCCUAUCAGCUUGUUGGUGGGGUGAUGGCCCACCAAGGCGGUGACGGGUAGCCGGCCUGAGAGGGUGGGCGGCCACACUGGGACUGAGACACGGCCCAGACUCCUGCGGGAGGCAGCAGUGGGGGGUAUUGCACAAUGGGCGGAAGCCUGAUGCAGCGACGUCGCGUGAGGGAUGGAGGCCUUCGGGUUGUGAACCUCUUUCUCCGGCGGUGAAGGCCCUGUCCGUUGCGGCGGGGUUGACGGUAGCCGGGUAUGAAGCGCCGGCUAACUACGUG